UUUGAUGGUAUUGCAUUUAAAUCAGUAAUUAAAUUAAUUAAUGAUUUGAGUUCCUCUCUUCCAAAUACAACAACAUUUGCAGUGUUUAUUCAAUUUUUGGCAGGUUUGAAUGUUAACCCUAUUUUCCUAGUUGAAUAUUAAAGGGGCCAAAAACCAAUAAUUCACCCGUAAACAAUCGAAUGAUUUAUCAAUAAAAUAUUAAAAUUUUAAUUUUAAUGAUUAAAUUUAAAUUCUGACAGCAAAUAUGAAAAAAAAAAAAAAACAAACAAUAAUUCACUCCUUUAAAAUAUCUCCACAUGCAGCCGAUGUCUCUGUACUUUUACACUGUUUGGAAUAAAUUCAUUUUUGGUAAUGAUUAGAAAUGUCAUCUUUUCAU
rnacentral:lncRNA from 1 species